UAGUAAUAGUUAUGUUCUUGAAAAUUAAAAAAGUUGGCGGUAUUUUAGUCUAUUUAGAGGAACCUGUCCUGUAAUCGAUAAUCCACGAUUUGAUUUACUUAUUGUUUAAGUUUGCAUAUCGCCGUAGGUUGAAUAUUUUUAAAGAAUUAGUAAUGUUCAAUAAGUUUAUAAGAAAAGAAUUCAGGUCAAGAUGUAGCGUAUAAAUAAGAAGAGAUGGGUUACAAUAAAUGUAUUUAUAACGAAUUAAUAAAUUUAAUUUAUAAUGAAGGUGGAUUUAAAAGUAAU
rnacentral:rRNA from 1 species